AUUUAAGUAGUUUAAGAUAAAAUGGUGAUUUGUGAUGUCACAGAUGUAGUAUGUUACCUUAGGUU
rnacentral:tRNA from 1 species